AUUAACUGCAAAUAACUGAGCUCCAAGUGACCCUUUGUAAGAAAUAGCUAGCCUUCAGUGGAGGCCUCAAUUUCCUCAUCUGUAAAACAGGGGUGAUAACAGAACCAUCUAAAUGGCUUGCUGUAACGAUAAAAUAGUAUAUAGAUUUGGAGCCCCAGCAUGGAGCCUAGUUCCUAGGAAGUGUUCACAAUGGAAGAGGACAAGAGACCUGGGCUCCCUCUCUUUCCACCGUAUCGAGGACACAGCAAGAAGGCAACCAUCUGUAAGCCAGGAAGUGGACCCUCACCAGGAACCAAAGCUGCCUAUACCUUGAUCUUGAACUUUGAAGACUCCAACACUGUGAGAAAUAAGUAUCUGCUGUUUAAGGCUCCCAGUCUUUGAUAUUUUUUUAUGGCAGCCUGAGGUGACUACGAUAGCAGGACUUGAAUCUAGUCCAGGAAAGCCACAGGGCUCUGUUUCCUCUCUCAUGCUGCAUUCUUCCUGCAAUGAAAGUAAGUUAUUAGCAAUGCAGUUUUCCACAGUUACUCCGAUGUUUUGCCUGGGCCUGUUCAGACCUUUCAGGACUCAGUUAAGAACAAAUCCAGGGAUCGUUAUUUGCUUUCGCUGGAGAGCAAGCAAUAGACAUGUAGCCAUUAACUGAAAUGGUUUUGGACAUUAGGUCAAUUUCUGGGGGAAAUGGAAUCGGGAUGAACUGGCACCUUUGAGUGUAUGUGAUGUUCACUUCUUUUUCACGGUUCUCGAUACAAUUUCACCAGUAAAAAUUGUUCCUCAGUGUGGAACCUGCUAUUGCCAGAUAAAUGAAACCCCUUUGGCCUUGGGAUGUUAGGAGAGAGAGACAGAGAGAGAGAGAGGCAUGAAGACACUUUUCUAGUGUGAAUGGUGUUUUAUAGGCUCAAAGCAUGUGAGAGCUGGAAAGGACUUCAGAUUCAGCUAAGUCCACCCCCUCAUCUAAUAUGUGAGGAAACUGAGGCCCAGAGGGAGGAAAUGCCCAGCUCCAGGGCAGAGCUAGGAACACAGAAAGCAAGGGUCAUGGACCGAAUGUUUGUGUCAUCUCUCAAAUUCAUAUGUUGAAGCCCUGAUCCCCAUUGCAGUGGUAAGUCUGGUGAUAAACCUGGGAAGAUAACACUGAUCCAUCCUUCAUGAAAACAGAGAUGUCUCCAGGUAUUUCACAUGUAAAGUAGCUUAAAACAGAGAAUUAG
rnacentral:lncRNA from 1 species